rnacentral:rRNA from 1 species
GUGGUAAUGCCGGAUGCUCCGGUUGGAUGCAUGUCCUUCCGGGAAAGGUUCCAUCGGUAUGGGAUGGGGUCGCGUCCUAUCAGCUUGAUGGCGGGGUAACGGCCCACCAUGGCUUCGACGGGUAGCCGGCCUGAGAGGGCGACCGGCCACAUUGGGACUGAGAUACGGCCCAGACUCCUACGGGAGGCAGCAGUGGGGAAUAUUGCACAAUGGGCGCAAGCCUGAUGCAGCGACGCCGCGUGCGGGAUGGAGGCCUUCGGGUUGUAAACCGCUUUUGAUCGGGAGCAAGCCCUUCGGGGUGAGUGUACCUUUCGAAUAAGCACCGGCUAACUACGUGCCAGCAGCCGCGGUAAUACGUAGGGUGCAAGCGUUAUCCGGAAUUAUUGGGCGUAAAGGGCUCGUAGGCGGUUCGUCGCGUCCGGUGUGAAAGCCCAUCGCUUAACGGUGGGUCUGCGCCGGGUACGGGCGGGCUGGAGUGCGGUAGGGGAGACUGGAAUUCCCGGUGUAACGGUGGAAUGUGUAGAUAUCGG